rnacentral:misc_RNA from 1 species
GCGGUGCCCCCCGGCAUCGCCGUCGAGAACAGGGAAGUCCAGGUGUCCAUCGGCAGCAGUAAAAUAUUGUCCGGCGGUGCCGUGGGCGUGGGACCCUUUUGCGGGCCUAUCGUCUGAAACAUCGCGUUCGCAUUCGGAAGGUCGACGACGCCGGCAAUUUUUACGCUUGCGGGGCUUUUGCCAUCCCGCAGGAUCGCAACUGUGUCGCCGAUCGAGACAUGCAGGUUGGCGGCGGUCUGCUGAGCGAUCAAUGCUCCGUCGACUGCUCCCGCGAGCAA